rnacentral:rRNA from 1 species
CCUACGGGAGGCAGCAGUGGGGAAUAUUGCACAAUGGGGGGAACCCUGAUGCAGCGACGCCGCGUGGGUGAAGGAGUAUUUCGGUAUGUAAAGCCCUAUCAGCAGGGAAGAACAAUGACGGUACCUGACCAAGAAGCACCGGCUAAAUACGUGCCAGCAGCCGCGGUAAUACGCAUGGUGCAAGCGUUAUCCGGAUUUACUGGGUGGAAAGGGAGCGCAGGCGGCGCGUUAAGCCUGGUGUGAAAGUCCGCGGCCCAACCGCGGGACUGCAUUGGAAACUGGCGCGCUGGAGUGCCGGAGGGGUAGGCGGAAUUCCUGGUGUAGCGGUGAAAUGCGUAGAUAUUAGGAGGAACACCAGUGGCGAAGGCGGCCAACUGGACGGUGACUGACGCUGAGGCGCGAAAGCGUGGGGAGCAAACAGGAUUAGAUACCCUGGUAGUC